rnacentral:precursor_RNA from 15 species
UAACCUGGCACUGUGCUUUCCAUUUGCCCUAGUUGUACCAGAUGUUACCUUUUAUGGACUGUUGAAAAAGGUACUUCCUGUGCAAUAGAGGUAUUUGGGGAAGGGCAUUUGUAGCAGAA